UCCCUGGCGGCCCAGUGGUUAGGACUUGGGCCUUUCACUGCCAGGGUCCAGGUUCAAUCCCUGGUCAGGGAA
rfam:Ovis aries breed Texel chromosome 9, whole genome shotgun sequence.